rnacentral:rRNA from 1 species
UACGGGGGGGGCAAGCGUUGUUCGGAAUUACUGGGCGUAAAGGGCUCGUAGGUGGCCAACUAAGUCAGACGUGAAAUCCCUCAGCUUAACUGGGGAACUGCGUCUGAUACUGGAUGGCUUGAGUUUGGGAGAGGGACGCGGAAUUCCAGGUGUAGCGGUGAAAUGCGUAGAUAUCAGGAGGAACACCGGUGGCGAAGGCGGGUCUCUGGGCCGUAACUGACGCUGGAGGAGCGAAAGCAUGGGGAGCGAACAGG